AUGCAGGUCGCGACCGGGGCCCUGAGCCCCCUCCUCCACAAGCUCGGGGACCUGCUCGUGGCCGAGCUCACCCUGAGCAGCCGCGUGAAGAAGGGCGUCCAGUCCCUCACCACGGAGCUGGAGCUGAUGUACGUCGUCCUCUCCAAGGUCGGCGACGUGCCGGCGGACGAGCUCCACCCGCAGGUCCGGAUCUGGGCGGGCAAGGUCCGGGAGCUCUCCUACAACAUGGAGGACGCCGUGGACGCCUAUAUGGUCCGGGUGUGCGACGGCCGCCAAGUUGAACUCGGCCCCAACAACUUGAAGAACAGAGUCAAGAAGUUCUUUAAGAGGACCAAGAAGUUGUUCACCAAUGGCAAGGCUCUGCAUCAGAUCUCCGGCGCCAUCCACGACGCCCAGGAGCUCGCCAACCAGCUGGGUGAGCUCCGUCAGAGGUACGAUCUUGUGGCAUCCACGGAUGGUGUAGCGAAUGCCAUUGAUCCUCGCCUCAAGGCUGUGUACAGGGAUGUCACAGAGCUUGUAGGCAUUGAGGAUAGGCGGGAUGAGGUGAUUGAGAAGCUUUUUAAUGGGGAUGACAUGUCUAAGCAGCAGCUCAAGACACUCUCUAUUGUUGGAUUUGGUGGAUUGGGCAAGACAACGCUUACCAAAGCAGUGUAUGACAAGAUCAUAAAGCAGUUCGACUGUGGCGUGUUUGUUUCGGUGUCACGGAAUCCCGACAUAACAAAGAUUUUCAAGAAUAUGUUGUAUGGACUAGACAGUAGUAAGUUUGCGAACAUCAACGAAGCCAUUAGGGACCAUGAACAACUCAUGAAUGAGCUGAGAGUGUUUCUUCAGGAUAAGAGGUACUUAAUUGUCAUUGAUGACAUUUGGAGUGAGGAUGCAUGGGAAAUUAUCAAGUGUGCUUUGCCUAAAAGCGAUCUUGGUAGUCGAGUAAUAAUAACAACUCGCAUAACCAGUGUCUCCGAAGCAUGUUGCCCAUCUUGUGAUGAUAUUAUUCAUAAGAUGAAAUCUCUUGAUAAUGAUGACUCCAAAAGGCUCUUCUACAAAAGAAUAUUCCCUCAAGGAAGUGAAUGUCCUGUUGAACUGGAGCAAGUAUCUAGAGAGAUUUUGAAGAAAUGUGGUGGCGUGCCACUAGCCAUCAUUACUAUAGCCAGUCUGUUAGCCAGUAAUGAUCAGCAGAUAAAGCCAAAGUAUCAAUGGGAUAACUUACUGAGUUCUAUUGGUCGUGGACUUGAAGAAGGUGGUACUGCGAAGGAUAUGCAGAGAAUACUAUCCUUUAGUUAUUAUGAUCUACCUUGUUAUCUAAGGACUUGUUUAUUAUAUCUCAGUAUAUUUCCAGAAGAUUUUGAGAUAGAUAGAGACCGGUUGAUAUGGAAGUGGAUAGCCGAAGGCUUUAUCCAAGGUGGAGAACAAGACAUUAGACUAUUUGAGCUUGGAGAGAGAUACUUCACUGAGCUGAUAAACAGAAACUUGAUCCAGCCAUCAUAUGUUGAUUUUCAUGGUAGGGUGCGAAGUUGUCACGUACAUGAUAUGGUACUUGAUCUCAUAUGUUCUCUAUCUACCGUAGAAAAUUUUGUUACUAUAUUGGAUGGUACUAAGCAAAGGAAAAGUAAUUCAGAUAGCAUGGUUCGCAGGGUAUCAUUUCAGAAUAGCAUGUCAAAGCACACCACCCAUCAGGUCAAUGCCAUAAGUAUGUCAAAGUUAAGGUCUGUUACUCUCUUUAGAACUGGUGUUGAUAUGAUCCAGACUCUUUCAAACUUCCAUAUUCUGCGUGUAUUGGAUUUAGAAGGUUGUAAUCUUCAGAAAAGCAGCCACCAGAUUGAUCUUAGGUAUGCUGAGAAUUUAUUACAUCUGAGGUACCUCGGGCUAGAAGGUACAUUUGUUGACGUUCUGCCCAUGGGAAUAGGAAAGCUGCAAUUUUUGCAAACAAUGAACUUAAGAACGUGUAUGGUGAUGCCAUCCAGUGUUGGUCGGCUAGGACAUUUAAUGUGCCUCUAUGUUGAUAUUACAGUGAGAUUACCAGUUGAGAUAGGGAAUUUGGUGUCCUUAGAAGAGCUGAAUGAAGUUAUGGUGGGUGGUACUGAUGCGAUUGAGAAAGAACUAGGAAAGCUGGCGGAGCUGAGUGUGCUUGGUCUUUGGUGGGAGGGAGACGACGAGAGUGUUUGUAAUUCUUUGGUGGUGUCCUUGGCCAAUCUGUGGAAAUUGCAUAAAUUAACUAGUUUUCUUUGUGGGGAUGCAAGGUUUGAUGACAGCUGGGACAGAUGGGUGCCCCCUCCACACCUCCACGCCUUUUAUUUUUAUCACUGUACCUCAACAUUGCCUAGAUGUUUUAAUUCAUCAUUGUUUCCCGUUCUCUCCUGUUUGCAUGUAGUAGUGGAUAGAGUGAGGCUGGAGGUCGACAUUCAGAUCCUUGGGAAAUUUCCCGCUCUUCGUUCUCUCUGGCUGGGAACCACCAAAGACCAAUGCACACUUCUGUCGAAAGGUUCAUCAUUGGCAAUGAUGCAUUCCCCUUCCUGA
rnacentral:rRNA from 1 species